UGUUCGGCCACCAUUGGGAUUGAGACCCGGCCCAGAUUCCUACGGGAGGCAGCAGUAGGGAAUCUUCCGCAAUGGACGAAAGUCUGACGGAGCAACGCCGCGUGAGUGAUGAAGGUUUUCGGAUCGUAAAGCUCUGUUGUUAGGGAAGAACAAGUGCGAGAGUAACUGCUCGCACCUUGACGGUACCUAACCAGAAAGCCACGGCUAACUACGUGCCAGCAGCCGCGGUAAUACGUAGGUGGCAAGCGUUGUCCGGAAUUAUUGGGCGUAAAGGGCUCGCAGGCGGUUUCUUAAGUCUGAUGUGAAAGCCCCCGGCUCAACCGGGGAGGGUCAUUGGAAACUGGGAAACUUGAGUGCAGAAGAGGAGAGUGGAAUUCCACGUGUAGCGGUGAAAUGCGUAGAGAUGUGGAGGAACACCAGUGGCGAAGGCGACUCUCUGGUCUGUAACUGACGCUGAGGAGCGAAAGCGUGGGGAGCGAACAGGAUUAGAUACCCUGGUAGUCCACGCCGUAAACGAUGAGUGCUAAGUGUUAGGGGGUUUCCGCCCCUUAGUGCUGCAGCUAACGCAUUAAGCACUCCGCCUGGGGAGUACGGUCGCAAGACUGAAACUCAAAGGAAUUGACGGGGGCCCGCACAAGCGGUGGAGCAUGUGGUUUAAUUCGAAGCAACGCGAAGAACCUUACCAGGUCUUGACAUCCUCUGACAACCCUAGAGAUAGGGCUUUCCCUUCGGGGACAGAGUGACAGGUGGUGCAUGGUUGUCGUCAGCUCGUGUCGUGAGAUGUUGGGUUAAGUCCCGCAACGAGCGCAACCCUUGAUCUUAGUUGCCAGCAUUUAGUUGGGCACUCUAAGGUGACUGCCGGUGACAAACCGGAGGAAGGUGGGGAUGACGUCAAAUCAUCAUGCCCCUUAUGACCUGGGCUACACACGUGCUACAAUGGACAGAACAAAGGGCUGCGAGACCGCAAGGUUUAGCCAAUCCCAUAAAUCUGUUCUCAGUUCGGAUCGCAGUCUGCAACUCGACUGCGUGAAGCUGGAAUCGCUAGUAAUCGCGGAUCAGCAUGCCGCGGUGAAUACGUUCCCGGGCCUUGUACACACCGCCCGUCACACCACGAGAGUUUGCAACACCCGAAGUCGGUGAGGUAACCUUUAUGGAG
rnacentral:rRNA from 1 species